rnacentral:rRNA from 1 species
UUGACCUCGGAUCAGGUAGGGAUACCCGCUGAACUUAAGCAUAUCAAUAAGCGGAGGAAAAGAAACCAACAGGGAUUGCCCCAGUAACGGCGAGUGAAGCGGCAAGAGCUCAAAUUUGAAAGCUGGCUCCUUCGGGGUCCGCAUUGUAAUUUGUAGAGGAUGCUUCGGGAGCGGUCCCCAUCUAAGUGCCCUGGAACGGGACGUCAUAGAGGGUGAGAAUCCCGUAUGGGAUGGGGUGUCCGCGCCCGUGUGAAGCUCCUUCGACGAGUCGAGUUGUUUGGGAAUGCAGCUCUAAAUGGGUGGUAAAUUUCAUCUAAAGCUAAAUAUUGGCCGGAGACCGAUAGCGCACAAGUAGAGUGAUCGAAAGAUGAAAAGCACUUUGAAAAGAGAGUUAAAAAGCACGUGAAAUUGUUGAAAGGGAAGCGCUUGCGACCAGACUCGCUCGCGGGGUUCAGCCGGCAUUCGUGCCGGUGUAUUUCCCCGCGGGCGGGCCAGCGUCGGUUUGGGCGGUCGGUCAAAGGCCCUCGGAAGGUAACGCCCCUAGGGGCGUCUUAUAGCCGAGGGUGCAAUGCGACCUGCCUAGACCGAGGAACGCGCUUCGGCUCGGACGCUGGCAUAAUGGUCGUAAGCGAC